UUUAGAGUUUGAUCCCAUGGCUCAGAACGAACGCGGGCGGCGUGGAUUAGGCAUGCAAGUCGAACGGACGCUUAGCUUUUUCGAGCGUUAGUGGCGAAAGGGUGAGUAACACGUGGGUUACCUACCCUAGGGAUUGGGAUAACUUGUCGAAAGACGGGCUAAUACCGGAUACGCUCCGAUAUCGGAUUGAUGUCGGAUGAAAGGAUGGGGACCUCGCAAGAGGCCUAUCGCCCUUGGAUGGGCCCGCGGCCUAUCAGCUAGUUGGUGAGGUAACGGCUCACCAAGGCUAAGACGGGUAGCUGGUCUGGGAGGAUGGUCAGCCACACUGGGACUGAGACACUGCCCAGACUCCUACGGGAGGCUGCAGUCGAGAAUCUUUCGCAAUGGGGGAAACCCUGACGGAGCGACGCCGCGUGCAGGAUGAAGGCCUUCGGGUUGUAAACUGCUGUCAGCUGGGGAGAAAAGCCGCAGGCGAAUAGUCUGCGGUCUUGACGGGCCAGCAGAGAAGCCACGGCAU
rnacentral:rRNA from 1 species